rnacentral:rRNA from 1 species
AUGAACGCUAGCUACAGGCUUAACACAUGCAAGUCGAGGGGCAGCAUGGUCUUAGCUUGCUAAGGCCGAUGGCGACCGGCGCACGGGUGAGUAACACGUAUCCAACCUGCCGUCUACUCUUGGACAGCCUUCUGAAAGGAAGAUUAGUACAAGAUGGCAUCAUGAGUCCGCAUGUUCACAUGAUUAAAGGUAUUCCGGUAGACGAUGGGGAUGCGUUCCAUUAGAUAGUAGGCGGGGUAACGGCCCACCUAGUCUUCGAUGGAUAGGGGUUCUGAGAGGAAGGUCCCCCACAUUGGAACUGAGACACGGUCCAAACUCCUACGGGAGGCAGCAGUGAGGAAUAUUGGUCAAUGGGCGAGAGCCUGAACCAGCCAAGUAGCGUGAAGGAUGACUGCCCUAUGGGUUGUAAACUUCUUUUAUAAAGGAAUAAAGUCGGGUAUGGAUACCCGUUUGCAUGUACUUUAUGAAUAAGGAUCGGCUAACUCCGUGCCAGCAGCCGCGGUAAUACGGAGGAUCCGAGCGUUAUCCGGAUUUAUUGGGUUUAAAGGGAGCGUAGAUGGAUGUUUAAGUCAGUUGUGAAAGUUUGCGGCUCAACCGUAAAAUUGCAGUUGAUACUGGAUAUCUUGAGUGCAGUUGAGGCAGGCGGAAUUCGUGGUGUAGCGGUGAAAUGCUUAGAUAUCACGAAGAACUCCGAUUGCGAAGGCAGCCUGCUAAGCUGCAACUGACAUUGAGGCUCGAAAGUGUGGGUAUCAAACAGGAUUAGAUACCCUGGUAGUCCACACGGUAAACGAUGAAUACUCGCUGUUUGCGAUAUACUGCAAGCGGCCAAGCGAAAGCGUUAAGUAUUCCACCUGGGGAGUACGCCGGCAACGGUGAAACUCAAAGGAAUUGACGGGGGCCCGCACAAGCGGAGGAACAUGUGGUUUAAUUCGAUGAUACGCGAGGAACCUUACCCGGGCUUAAAUUGCAGAUGAAUUACGGUGAAAGCCGUAAGCCGCAAGGCAUCUGUGAAGGUGCUGCAUGGUUGUCGUCAGCUCGUGCCGUGAGGUGUCGGCUUAAGUGCCAUAACGAGCGCAACCCUUGUUGUCAGUUACUAACAGGUUCCGCUGAGGACUCUGACAAGACUGCCAUCGUAAGAUGUGAGGAAGGUGGGGAUGACGUCAAAUCAGCACGGCCCUUACGUCCGGGGCUACACACGUGUUACAAUGGGGGGUACAGAGGGCCGCUACCACGCGAGUGGAUGCCAAUCCCCAAAACCUCUCUCAGUUCGGACUGGAGUCUGCAACCCGACUCCACGAAGCUGGAUUCGCUAGUAAUCGCGCAUCAGCCACGGCGCGGUGAAUACGUUCCCGGGCCUUGUACACACCGCCCGUCAAGCCAUGGGAGCCGGGGGUACCUGAAGUGCGUAACCGCGAGGAGCGCCCUAGGGUAAAACUGGUGACUGGGGCU